AUGGCAUAUUGCAAUGGUUGACGAUGGCGAUAAGACGUUUGCGCAAAACACUCACGUACCACCUACACCAAAUUUCAGCCAAGUUUUAUAUUAAAAUGUUGACAGCUAUAACAGUAUCCAUGUUCGGAACGAUAUACUAUAUUAGUUUGGAAGAAACAGAUUAUUAUCCAAUAAUUAACAGAAAAACUGAAAAUUUACUCAGAAAACAGCUGAAGUAUGAUAAAAACAGUGGCUGUGUCAUGCCGUACUUGGACCCAUUCAGUAACGAAUCCACGUGGAGUGAUAGAGUGCCGGAUCCCAUCAUAUGCACUGGCACCAACUGGGUCAAGUGCUACCACUCGAAAUGCCGCAUCAUCAACAAGAUUUUACAUUAUUACACAAACAUAUCUUGUACCUACCGCGAUAUAGUAUUUCAGACUGAUUUUUUAUAUUAUCUUGGAAGGCCCAUUCAAGUAAUCGGUGCUAACGUCUAUCAAUUGAACAGAAGUGACCAUGUUAAUGUUACUUGUACGGGAUCAAACGAAAAAGGUUUAGUAACGUGGUCUGGUAACUUGGCUGGGUUUCGGCCAGUCAGCCCUAUCGCCUCGCCUCAAGGUCGACAGAAUACGAUCAACAUUCUUAUUUUUGCAUUCGACUCCACUGCACGAAUAAGAUUUAUACGUCAUAUGCCAAAGAGUUAUAAAUAUAUAACUCAGGAUCUUCAAGCUACGAUAUUAACUAGCUACAAUAUAGCAGGCGACGGCACAAAAGAAGUAUUGACAAUGAUGCUAACCGGAAAAGCCUUGUACGAAUUACCAAGCGUUCAACCUAGGAUGAAAAGAAAACUGACAUGUGACGCUUUCCCAUUCAUAUUCUACAGGUUGAAAGAAGACGGUUACAGAACAGCUUUCUUGGAAGAUGGUCCGGAUCUAGGGACCUACCAGUGGGACGCAAAUGGUUUCCAGCAACAACCCACAGAUCAUUAUCAAUCUGCUUACAAUACUCAUAACAGACAGUUUUCAUUUUAUAACCAUGGCUGUUUAGGAGACACGCCACAAUACGAAGUCAUAAUGGAUUUAAACGUUCAGUUUAUGCGUUUGGACGGGAAAAAAUUCAUAUUCACCUUGGUGGGUGAUAUUUCCCACAACGACUCCAACUUAAUCACCAAUGCCGACGAAGCGUUCGUCACAUUCCUCACAAGAUUUAGGGAGGAGGGCCACGAGACUAAUACUCUGCUAAUCGUCAUGGGGGAUCAUGGACCAAGAUUUGGAGUCGAUAGAAGAACAGCUCAGUCUCAACUUGAAGAACGACUGCCUCUCAUGGCAAUCGUGCUGCCAGAGCAACUCAAAGAAGAGAGACCAGACGUCCUGCCGGCAUUGAAGAAGAACGCGAACUACCUGACGACUCCGUACGAUAUCCACUCGACCUUGCUGGAUGCAGUGGGUCUUCGUAAAUACUGGAACAAUUAUACAGUUCCCGGUGCUGACCAUCCUAGAGGCAGGACGUUGCUGGAACCGAUUCCUGCCAACCGAACCUGCAGCGAGGCAGGUAUCACCCCCCAUUACUGCGCGUGUCUGCUGUGGCACAACGUCUCCAAAAGCAAUCGUCUUUACAAGAUGGCGGGCGAAGCCUUCGUGGGCUAUGUCAACCACCUCCUUCAACCUGUGAAAUCGCUGUGCAAACCUCGCACGCUUGCCGAAAUCGGCUGGGUGAAGAAGUUACAUUUGUACACGUCUUUGGCGAACCCACAGGAAAUAUACCAAGUUAAGGUGACGCUCGACCCCGGCGCGAGCACGUUUGAAAGCACGCUGACAUAUGUAGUCAAAGAAGACAUAUUUGAGGUCAAUUCUAAAGACAUUUCGCGUACUAACAGUUAUGGUCGUCAGCCCAGAUGUAUAGAAAAGACAUAUCCACUUCUACGUUACUAUUGUUUCUGCUAUGAAUGAUUGAAUAUAAUAUACACACAUAAUAUCAAACGAUAUUUUAGAAGCAACAGUAGAAACUUAGUUAAUUUUACUGAUUUUUAAUGUUUGACUAAGCGACAAAAGUGACCACAUACUAACCUAACAUUCUAUUAGUAUACUCGAGUAAAUAGCCGUAACGACUCACGAAGAAAAAGAAGCAACUUUCGCAAUGGCCGGUUAGGUCCAGAUCCAGCCUGACCGUCGCCCGUUACUGGACACCGGGUGUUAAAGUGUGAAUUCAAACCUUCUAUUCGCUUUAAUGGAACUGUCACUCGAGGUGACACCUCGUCAACGCAAAAGGUUGAACAUGGAACAUUUUAAGCCACGGCCUCUAUCAUGGAUGGGAGCAAAAAGGGAAUCUUUUACGCUAUUCAUUUGUUUUGCGCUCACAUCGACAAGCUUUCAAUAUGAUUCCCGCCUCUCAUUUGUAACUGUAAACUCGAGCGAUAAAUGAAUAUUGUUUUUGGAACCUGCUUAUUUGUGAAUACAGGGUGAUUCAGUAUAAUCCUUUUGUAUUCGUAAAAUAUGUCGAAAUGAAUUGAUGAU